CCCUAGUAACUGCGAGUGAAGCGGGAAAAGCUCAAAUUUAAAAUCUGGUGGUCUUUGAUCAUCCGAGUUGUAAUCUAGAGAAGUGUUAUCCGCGCUGGACCGUGUACAAGUCUCCUGGAAUGGAGCGUCAUAGAGGGUGAGAAUCCCGUCUUUGACACGGACUGCCAGGGCUUUGUGAUGCGCUCUCAAAGAGUCGAGUUGUUUGGGAAUGCAGCUCAAAAUGGGUGGUAAAUUCCAUCUAAAGCUAAAUAUUGGCGAGAGACCGAUAGCGAACAAGUACCGUGAGGGAAAGAUGAAAAGAACUUUGGAAAGAGAGUUAAACAGUACGUGAAAUUGCUGAAAGGGAAACGCUUGAAGUCAGUCGCGUUGGCCGGGGAUCAACCUUGCUUUUGCUGGGCGUACUUUCCGGUUUGACGGGUCAGCAUCAAUUUUGACCGUUGGAUAAAGUUCAGGGGAAUGUGGCAUCUUCGGAUGUGUUAUAGCCUCUGUUCGCAUACAACGGUUGGGAUUGAGGAACUCAGCACGCCGCAAGGCCGGGUAUUUAUACCACGUUCGUGCUUAGGAUACUGGCAUAAUGGCUUUAAUCGACCCGUCUUGAAACACGGACCAAGGAGUCUAACAUGCCUGCGAGUGUUUGGGUGGAAAACCCGAGCGCGUAAUGAAAGUGAAAGUUGAGAUCCCUGUCGUGGGGAGCAUCGACGCCCGGACCAGACCUUUUGUGACGGAUCCGCGGUAGAGCAUGUAUGUUGGGACCC
rnacentral:rRNA from 2 species